ACGAAAUUGUGUCCAGUUAUGGAAAAGAAGUUGGUGGACUCUUUGGAGCUAGCUAAGUCUUGGGAUGUGAUUGUUGCUAGUGAUACUGUGCUUGAGAUUGUUUUAGAGAGUCAUACAAGGAAUCUGUUUAUCCAGUGCCUUCAAGUGAGAGAUUUGACUUUGAUGGUGCCAGUAGUUCGGUUAUCAAACCUCCUAUAACGAAGAAGCAGCCCGGGCGGAACAAGAAGAAGAGGAUACCUUCAAGGGGUGAGAAUGUGAAGCAAAUCAAGUGUGGGAGGUGCUUGAAAUAUGGGAAUCACAAUAAGAAGACGUGCAAGGCUGCUAUUUGAGGCCGCAAUCUAUUCUUUUGGAUUUGUAUUUGAAUUUGAGGAAUUAUGAUAAUAAAAAAUGUGAUACUUGGUAUUA